UUAAGCGACUAAGCGUACACGGUGGAUGCCCUGGCAGUCAGAGGCGAUGAAGGACGUGCUAAUCUGCGAUAAGCGUCGGUAAGGUGAUAUGAACCGUUAUAACCGGCGAUUUCCGAAUGGGGAAACCCAGUGUGUUUCGACACACUAUCAUUAACUGAAUCCAUAGGUUAAUGAGGCGAACCGGGGGAACUGAAACAUCUAAGUACCCCGAGGAAAAGAAAUCAACCGAGAUUCCCCCAGUAGCGGCGAGCGAACGGGGAGGAGCCCAGAGCCUGAAUCAGUGUGUGUGUUAGUGGAAGCGUCUGGAAAGGCGCGCGAUACAGGGUGACAGCCCCGUACACAAAAAUGCACAUGCUGUGAGCUCGAUGAGUAGGGCGGGACACGUGGUAUCCUGUCUGAAUAUGGGGGGACCAUCCUCCAAGGCUAAAUACUCCUGACUGACCGAUAGUGAACCAGUACCGUGAGGGAAAGGCGAAAAGAACCCCGGCGAGGGGAGUGAAAAAGAACCUGAAACCGUGUACGUACAAGCAGUGGGAGCACGCUUCGGCGUGUGACUGCGUACCUUUUGUAUAAUGGGUCAGCGACUUAUAUUCUGUAGCAAGGUUAACCGAAUAGGGGAGCCGAAGGGAAACCGAGUCUUAACUGGGCGUUAAGUUGCAGGGUAUAGACCCGAAACCCGGUGAUCUAGCCAUGGGCAGGUUGAAGGUUGGGUAACACUAACUGGAGGACCGAACCGACUAAUGUUGAAAAAUUAGCGGAUGACUUGUGGCUGGGGGUGAAAGGCCAAUCAAACCGGGAGAUAGCUGGUUCUCCCCGAAAGCUAUUUAGGUAGCGCCUCGUGAAUUCAUCUCCGGGGGUAGAGCACUGUUUCGGCAAGGGGGUCAUCCCGACUUACCAACCCGAUGCAAACUGCGAAUACCGGAGAAUGUUAUCACGGGAGACACACGGCGGGUGCUAACGUCCGUCGUGAAGAGGGAAACAACCCAGACCGCCAGCUAAGGUCCCAAAGUCAUGGUUAAGUGGGAAACGAUGUGGGAAGGCCCAGACAGCCAGGAUGUUGGCUUAGAAGCAGCCAUCAUUUAAAGAAAGCGUAAUAGCUCACUGGUCGAGUCGGCCUGCGCGGAAGAUGUAACGGGGCUAAACCAUGCACCGAAGCUGCGGCAGCGACACUGUGUGUUGUUGGGUAGGGGAGCGUUCUGUAAGCCUGUGAAGGUGUACUGUGAGGUAUGCUGGAGGUAUCAGAAGUGCGAAUGCUGACAUAAGUAACGAUAAAGCGGGUGAAAAGCCCGCUCGCCGGAAGACCAAGGGUUCCUGUCCAACGUUAAUCGGGGCAGGGUGAGUCGACCCCUAAGGCGAGGCCGAAAGGCGUAGUCGAUGGGAAACAGGUUAAUAUUCCUGUACUUGGUGUUACUGCGAAGGGGGGACGGAGAAGGCUAUGUUGGCCGGGCGACGGUUGUCCCGGUUUAAGCGUGUAGGCUGGUUUUCCAGGCAAAUCCGGAAAAUCAAGGCUGAGGCGUGAUGACGAGGCACUACGGUGCUGAAGCAACAAAUGCCCUGCUUCCAGGAAAAGCCUCUAAGCAUCAGGUAACAUCAAAUCGUACCCCAAACCGACACAGGUGGUCAGGUAGAGAAUACCAAGGCGCUUGAGAGAACUCGGGUGAAGGAACUAGGCAAAAUGGUGCCGUAACUUCGGGAGAAGGCACGCUGAUAUGUAGGUGAAGCGACUUGCUCGUGGAGCUGAAAUCAGUCGAAGAUACCAGCUGGCUGCAACUGUUUAUUAAAAACACAGCACUGUGCAAACACGAAAGUGGACGUAUACGGUGUGACGCCUGCCCGGUGCCGGAAGGUUAAUUGAUGGGGUUAGCGGUAACGCGAAGCUCUUGAUCGAAGCCCCGGUAAACGGCGGCCGUAACUAUAACGGUCCUAAGGUAGCGAAAUUCCUUGUCGGGUAAGUUCCGACCUGCACGAAUGGCGUAAUGAUGGCCAGGCUGUCUCCACCCGAGACUCAGUGAAAUUGAACUCGCUGUGAAGAUGCAGUGUACCCGCGGCAAGACGGAAAGACCCCGUGAACCUUUACUAUAGCUUGACACUGAACAUUGAGCCUUGAUGUGUAGGAUAGGUGGGAGGCUUUGAAGUGUGGACGCCAGUCUGCAUGGAGCCGACCUUGAAAUACCACCCUUUAAUGUUUGAUGUUCUAACGUGGACCCGUGAUCCGGGUUGCGGACAGUGUCUGGUGGGUAGUUUGACUGGGGCGGUCUCCUCCUAAAGAGUAACGGAGGAGCACGAAGGUUGGCUAAUCCUGGUCGGACAUCAGGAGGUUAGUGCAAUGGCAUAAGCCAGCUUGACUGCGAGCGUGACGGCGCGAGCAGGUGCGAAAGCAGGUCAUAGUGAUCCGGUGGUUCUGAAUGGAAGGGCCAUCGCUCAACGGAUAAAAGGUACUCCGGGGAUAACAGGCUGAUACCGCCCAAGAGUUCAUAUCGACGGCGGUGUUUGGCACCUCGAUGUCGGCUCAUCACAUCCUGGGGCUGAAGUAGGUCCCAAGGGUAUGGCUGUUCGCCAUUUAAAGUGGUACGCGAGCUGGGUUUAGAACGUCGUGAGACAGUUCGGUCCCUAUCUGCCGUGGGCGCUGGAGAACUGAGGGGGGCUGCUCCUAGUACGAGAGGACCGGAGUGGACGCAUCACUGGUGUUCGGGUUGUCAUGCCAAUGGCACUGCCCGGUAGCUAAAUGCGGAAGAGAUAAGUGCUGAAAGCAUCUAAGCACGAAACUUGCCCCGAGAUGAGUUCUCCCUGACCCUUUAAGGGUCCUGAAGGAACGUUGAAGACGACGACGUUGAUAGGCCGGGUGUGUAAGCGCAGCGAUGCGUUGAGCUAACCGGUACUAAUGAACCGUGAGGCUUAACCUU
rnacentral:rRNA from 1 species